UGUUAAUUCGCUUUGUUUGUGCGCCAUAAGCAGGUGAAGCUGCCAGCAUGAUCUGAAAGCAUCUCAAACCAGCGAUCAGAUCAUCCGGCAGCUUCAUCUUCUCAUGGCAGCACACCAGCUUGAUUGAUUG
rnacentral:misc_RNA from 1 species